AAUAUGGACUUUACUUUGUUAAAGAAUCUAUGGAUCAAAGGUGUGUUGCGACGAGGAUUUACAAAAAGACUAAAGAAUGAAACAAUGAAAAUGGGCAAGGAAGAGACCUGGGCAAGAUGGCCAAAUAGGACCAGCUCCUUUCUGCAGCUCCCAAGGAGAUCAAUGCAGAAGGCGGGUGAUUUCUGCAUUUCCAACUGAGGUACUUGGCUCAUCUCAUUGGGACUGGUUAGACAGUGGGUGCAGCCCAUGGAGGGCAAGCAGAAAUAGGGUAAGGCAUCGCCUCACCC
rnacentral:lncRNA from 1 species